CAGUCGCCGCGGGAAUACGAAGGGUGCAAGCGUUACUCGGAAUUACUGGGCGUAAAGCGUGCGUAGGUGGUGGUUUAAGUCCGUUGUGAAAGCCCUGGGCUCAACCUGGGAAUUGCAGUGGAUACUGGGUCACUAGAGUGUGGUAGAGGAUAGUGGAAUUUCCGGUGUAGCAGUGAAAUGCGUAGAGAUCGGAAGGAACAUCUGUGGCGAAGGCGACUAUCUGGGCCAAUACUGACACUGAGGCACGAAAGCGUGGGGAGCAAACAGGAUUAGAUACCCCGGUAGUCCCUGUCUCUUAUAU
rnacentral:rRNA from 1 species